AACGAACGCUGGCGGCAUGCCUAACACAUGCAAGUCGAACGAGACCUUCGGGUCUAGUGGCGCACGGGUGCGUAACGCGUGGGAACCUGCCCUUAGGUUCGGAAUAACUCCCCGAAAGGGGUGCUAAUACCGGAUAAUGUCUUCGGACCAAAGAUUUAUCGCCUUUGGAUGGGCCCGCGUUGGAUUAGCUAGUUGGUAGGGUAAAAGCCUACCAAGGCGACGAUCCAUAGCUGGUCUGAGAGGAUGAGCAGCCACACUGGGACUGAGACACGGCCCAGACUCCUACGGGAGGCAGCAGUGGGGAAUAUUGGACAAUGGGCGAAAGCCUGAACCAGCAAUGCCGCGUGAGUGAUGAAGGCCUUAGGGUUGUAAAGCUCUUUUACCCGGGAUGAUAAUGACAGUACCGGGAGAAUAAGCUCCGGCUAACUCCGUG
rnacentral:rRNA from 1 species